GAUGAACGCUAGCUACAGGCUUAACACAUGCAAGUCGAGGGGUAACGAGAGGAAAGCUUGCUUUCCUUGUCGACGACCGGCGCACGGGUGAGUAACGCGUAUCCAACCUGCCCCCAACUAGGGAAUAACCUUGCGAAAGUAAGCAUAAUACCCGAUAAUUUCCACAGAUUACAUCUGACGAGGAAUAAAGAUUUAUCGGAUGUGGUUGGGGAUGCGUCUGAUUAGCUUGUUGGCGGGGUAACGGCCCACCAAGGCAACGAUCAGUAGGGGUUCUGAGAGGAAGGUCCCCCACAUUGGAACUGAGACACGGUCCAAACUCCUACGGGAGGCAGCAGUGAGGAAUAUUGGUCAAUGGGCGGAAGCCUGAACCAGCCAAGUAGCGUGCAGGAUGACGGCCCUAUGGGUUGUAAACUGCUUUUAUACAGGAAUAAAGUUAGCCACGUGUGGUUAUUUGUAGGUACUGUAUGAAUAAGGACCGGCUAAUUCCGUGCCAGCCGCCGCGGUAA
rnacentral:rRNA from 1 species